rnacentral:rRNA from 1 species
UACGAAGGGGGCUAGCGUUGUUCGGAAUUACUGGGCGUAAAGCGCACGUAGGCGGAUCGAUCAGUCAGGGGUGAAAUCCCAGGGCUCAACCCUGGAACUGCCUUUGAUACUGUCGAUCUGGAGUAUGGAAGAGGUGAGUGGAAUUCCGAGUGUAGAGGUGAAAUUCGUAGAUAUUCGGAGGAACACCCGUGGCGAAGGCGGCUCUCUGGAACGCAACUGACGCUGAGACGCGAAAGCGUGGGGAGCAAACAGG